rnacentral:rRNA from 1 species
GAUGAACGCUGGCGGCGUGCCUAAUACAUGCAAGUCGAGCGAACGGACGAGAAGCUUGCUUCUCUGAUGUUAGCGGCGGACGGGUGAGUAACACGUGGAUAACCUACCUAUAAGACUGGGAUAACUUCGGGAAACCGGAGCUAAUACCGGAUAAUAUUUUGAACCGCAUGGUUCAAAAGUGAAAGAAGGUCUUGCUGUCACUUAUAGAUGGAUCCGCGCUGCAUUAGCUAGUUGGUAAGGUAACGGCUUACCAAGGCAACGAUGCAUAGCCGACCUGAGAGGGUGAUCGGCCACACUGGAACUGAGAACCGUUCCAGACUCCUACGGGAGGCAGCAGUAGGGAAUCUUCCGCAAUGGGCGAAAGCCUGACGGAGCAACGCCGCGUGAGUGAUGAAGGUCUUCGGAUCGUAAAACUCUGUUAUUAGGGAAGUACAUAUGUGUAAGUAACUGUGCACAUCUUGACGGUACCUAAUCAGAAAGCCACGGCUAACUACGUG